rnacentral:rRNA from 1 species
GAUGAACGCUGGCGGCGUGCUUAACACAUGCAAGUCGAACGAGAGAUACAGGAGGAAGUUUUCGGAUGGAAUCCAGUAGAUCGAGUGGCGGACGGGUGAGUAACGCGUGGGGAACCUGCCUCAUACAGGGGGAUAACAGUUGGAAACGACUGUUAAUACCGCAUAAGACCACAGAGUCGCAUGACUCAGGGGUAAAACUCCGGUGGUAUGAGAUGGACCCGCGUUCGAUUAGCCAGUUGGCGGGGUAACGGCCCACCAAAGCGACGAUCGAUAGCCGAUUUGAGAGAAUGACCGGCCACAUUGGGACUGAGACACGGCCCAA